GUACCCAUAGCUUAAUUGGAUAGAGCAUUCGGCUACGAACCGAAAGGUUGGGGGUUCGAUUCCCUCUGGGUGCACCA
rnacentral:tRNA from 1 species